GAUGAACGCUAGCGGCAGGCUUAAUACAUGCAAGUCGUGGGGCAGCAGGACUCUAGCAUUACAUUUUCUGGCGACCGGCAAGCGGGUGCGGCACACGUACCCAACUUACCCUGAACUGGGGGCUUGCCCGGGGAAACCCUGAUUCAUACUCCGUAAUAUAAUUGCGUGGUAUCACUUUAUUAUUAACGCUCCGGCGGUUCGGGAUGGGCGUUCGGCUGCUUAGUUAGUUGGUUGAGGUAACGGCUCACCAAGCCUACGAUCAGUAAGUGGUGUGAGAGCAGGACGAGUGAGACGGGCACUGAGACACGGGCGCGAGUGAUACGGGAGGGAGCAGUAAGGAAGAUAGGGGAAUGGAGGCAAGUCUGACCGAGCCAAGCCGGAUGGAGGAAGAAGGCCCUCGGGAUUAUAAACUUCUGGUAGAGGAGACGAAACGUGUGUAUUCUUACGAAGUUGACGGUACCCGAGGAAUAAGCACCGGCUAACUACGUG
rnacentral:rRNA from 1 species